rnacentral:tRNA from 1 species
GGGGAUUUAGCUCAGCGGCAUAAGCGCCUGCCUUGCAAGUGUGCGGUCGUGAGUUCGAUCCCUCGAUCCCUG